GGAUAAAAAGGAACCGCCAACGAAUUGUAAAUAUAACAAUCCUAUUUGUGUUCGGCGGGGCUAACGGAAUUCGACGGAAUACGAUAUUGCGCUGCGCGAGCGAAAAUUCCCACCGGUAUUAAUGUAUAAGAUUAUACAAUUAAUGCAAUUAUCAUUCUCGGUUACUUUUGAACACUUUCUAUAACAGUAGCUCGUCGCACCUAAAACGGGCU